UCCUGCUGUGUGACAGGGAUCUAACCAAC
rnacentral:piRNA from 1 species